rnacentral:tRNA from 2 species
ACUCACGUGGUGGAAUUGGUAGACACGCCAUCUUGAGGGGGUGGUGUCCGUAAGGAUGUGCCGGUUCAAAUCCGGUCGUGAGUA